rnacentral:rRNA from 1 species
GACGAACGCUGGCGGCGUGCUUAACACAUGCAAGUCGAACGAUGAACCCGGAGCUUGCUCCGGCGGAUUAGUGGCGAACGGGUGAGUAACACGUGAGUAACCUGCCCUUGACUCUGGGAUAACUGCUAGAAAUGGUAGCUAAUACCGGAUACGACCCUCGGUGGCAUCACCAGGGGGUGGAAAGAAUUUCGGUCAAGGAUGGACUCGCGGCCUAUCAGCUAGUUGGUGAGGUAACGGCUCACCAAGGCGACGACGGGUAGCCGGCCUGAGAGGGUGACCGGCCACACUGGGACUGAGACACGGCCCAGACUCCUACGGGAGGCAGCAGUGGGGAAUAUUGCACAAUGGGCGCAAGCCUGAUGCAGCAACGCCGCGUGAGGGAUGACGGCCUUCGGGUUGUAAACCUCUUUCAGUAGGGGCGAAGCGCAAGUGACGGUACCUACAGAAGAAGGACCGGCCAACUACGUGCCAGCAGCCGCCGCCG